GAGCUUGCUCCUUUGACGUUAGCGGCGGACGGGUGAGUAACACGUGGGUAACCUACCUAUAAGACUGGAAUAACUCCGGGAAACCGGGGCUAAUGCCGGAUAACAUAUAGAACCGCAUGGUUCUAUAGUGAAAGAUGGUUUUGCUAUCACUUAUAGAUGGACCCGCGCCGUAUUAGCUAGUUGGUAAGGUAAUGGCUUACCAAGGCGACGAUACGUAGCCGACCUGAGAGGGUGAUCGGCCACACUGGAACUGAGACACGGUCCAGACUCCUACGGGAGGCAGCAGUAGGGAAUCUUCCGCAAUGGGCGAAAGCCUGACGGAGCAACGCCGCGUGAGUGAUGAAGGGUUUCGGCUCGUAAAACUCUGUUAUUAGGGAAGAACAUAUGUGUAAGUAACUGUGCACAUCUUGACGGUACCUAAUCAGAAAGCCACGGCUAACUACGUGCCAGCAGCCGCGGUAAUACGUAGGUGGCAAGCGUUAUCCGGAAUUAUUGGGCGUAAAGCGCGCGUAGGCGGUUUCUUAAGUCUGAUGUGAAAGCCCACGGCUCAACCGUGGAGGGUCAUUGGAAACUGGGAAACUUGAGUGCAGAAGAGGAAAGUGGAAUUCCAUGUGUAGCGGUGAAAUGCGCAGAGAUAUGGAGGAACACCAGUGGCGAAGGCGACUUUCUG
rnacentral:rRNA from 1 species